AGGACGAACGCUGGCGGCGUGCUUAACACAUGCAAGUCGAGCGGAAAGGCCCUUCGGGGUACUCGAGCGGCGAACGGGUGAGUAACACGUGAGCAACCUGCCCUUGGCUCUGGGAUAGCCUCCGGAAACGAGGAUUAAUACCGGACAUUCACUUUUUCCUGCAUGGGGGGAGGGUGGAAAGUUUUUCGGCCAGGGAGGGGCUCGCGGCCUAUCAGCUUGUUGGCGGGGUAAUGGCCCACCAAGGCGACGACGGGUAGCCGGCCUGAGAGGGCGAUCGGCCACACUGGGACUGAGACACGGCCCAGACUCCUACGGGAGGCAGCAGUGGGGAUAUUGCACAAUGGGCGGAAGCCUGAUGCAGCGACGCCGCGUGGGGGAUGAAGGCCUUCGGGUUGUAAACCCCUUUCACCAGGAGCGAAUCAAGACGGUACCUGGGGAAGAAGCGCCGGCUAACUACGCGCCAGCAGCCGC
rnacentral:rRNA from 1 species